UAGUGUCAAGUUGAAAACGUCUCAUUUCAAGCAUAAAUUCACUUGUUAUUUUCUUAUUGCAUUAAAGGUCAUAAUUCAAGUUAUUUUUAACUAGAUAUGAGUUUUAACAACCACUUAAUUGCACCACGUAGUAAAAGUGACCUAAAUCACUUAAAAAACACAGUCAAAUAUACUUGCGAUACUUGUGGAUUACCACUGAUCACAAGAUGCUCAGUCAGAAAUGUUGUCAUAAACCACAAGUUUUCCUCAAACUCGGUGGCAGGAUCGAAUUCACUCGAACGCACCCAACACAUCUCAAAUGUCGCUUGAGCUGCAUGCCAGUGAUGUGAACUGAAGCAAGUACAAGAGCUGUGCCUUUCGACUUCAAAAGCUAAAGAUGGAGCAAUUGGACAAGACAACACAGUCACUUCUGGAAGCUGCACAGGCCAUUGCCUUGUUGGAGGCGCUCCCAAAAAUGUUCCCUUACCCAACCGCCCCUCCAAGAAAAGUCGGCAAGUGAGGCACUGUACCAUGUUCUUGAGCCAUCUGAGGACCCA